rnacentral:rRNA from 1 species
UACGGAAGGCAGCAGUGGGGAAUAUUGCACAAUGGGCGCAAGCCUGAUGCAGCCAUGCCGCGUGUAUGAAGAAGGCCUUCGGGUUGUAAAGUACUUUCAGUCGUGAGGAAGGUGUUAAGGUUAAUAACCUUAGCAAUUGACGUUAGCGACAGAAGAAGCACCGGCUAACUCCGUGCCAGCAGCCGCGGUAAUACGGAGGGUGCGAGCGUUAAUCGGAAUUACUGGGCGUAAAGGGCACGCAGGCGGUUAAUUAAGUUGGAUGUGAAAUCCCCGGGCUUAACCUGGGAAUGGCAUUCAAGACUGGUUAGCUAGAGUCUUGUAGAGGGGGUAGAAUUCCAUGUGUAGCGGUGAAAUGCGUAGAGAUGUGGAGGAAAUACCGGUGGCGAAGGCGGCCCCUGGACAAAGACUGACGCUCAUGUGCGAAAGCGUGGGGAGCAAACAGGGAUUAGAUA